rnacentral:ncRNA from 1 species
CGUACGCAACAGUAAUUGAACUUAGUACGAGAGGAACCGUUCAUUCAGAUAUUUGGUAUUUGCGCCUGUCCGAUCGGGCAAUGGCGCGAAGCUAUCAUCUGCUGGAUUAUGGCUGAACGCCUCUAAGCCAGAAUCCGUGCUAGAAACGACGAUAUUUGGUCCCGCACAUGUCAAUUGAGUUGAGAUAGAGCUUUGCUCGUGAACCAAAUCAGGUGGGCUAGGCUCGUCGGGCGGAAAUGCCUGGCGGGUUCGUCUACGAAUUGUAAUCAUCAUAUGCGCGGGGGUGAAUCCUUUGCAGACGACUUGAAUGGGAACGGGGUACUGUAAGCGGUAGAGUAGCCUUGUUGCUACGAUCCGCUGAGGUUAAG